UUCUCGUCCGAUCACCGAAGUUAAGCUCAGUAGGGCGCGGUUAGUACUUGGAUGGGUGACCGCCUGGGAAUACCGUGUGCUGUAGGCA
rnacentral:rRNA from 1 species